rnacentral:lncRNA from 1 species
CUGUUUUUUUUUUUAUUUUUUUUUUCUAUAAAAUUAUAUUAAAUAAAAGAAAUGCGGCAAAAUCUUUUUUUUUUUAAUUCUUAGUUGUUGGUUUUUCACGGAAGAUGGAGUUGUGUAGACGGAAGAAGUUGCAUUGCAUCGACUGCUGUUGUCUGUUGACAGCUACGAUAAUUAUUUACUAUUUUUUAUUUCUACUCCUUCUAUCACUCUGACAGCGAGAAUAUUGGAACGGACUUCGAUGUAAAAAUAUAUUUUAGGUAGCUGAUUAGCGUAAAGAAUCGACGUUACAUAUACCUAUGUGGCCUACAUGAUGAUGAAGUAUCAAGUAUGUAUGAGAAAUUUAUCUUGAGAAUUGGUACAUCACAAUGAGCACAUCACUCCACUACCACCACUACUUUGAAAUCUUCACUCUCCUCUUUCACUUGAGUAGUUAAACUUUAAUGACUCAGUAUGAGUAAACUCCUUUACAUUUAUCUCAUUUUCACGAGGGAGCUUAAAAUAUGAAAACGAAACGCCAAACCUAAAAACGCGAAAGCGAAACGUGAAACACGGAACACGAAUUAUAUCAUUUUUGAGACAGAGAAAUUGGCAAAACCUCAAUAGAUUUGCGAAAAGUCUUGCGAAAAGCUUAGCGAAGCAGUAAAAGAAAAUUGUGUUACGGUUUGACGGACUCAAUUAUCUUCCACAUAUUUUAAUGAGUAACUUUCAGAUUUUUUCUCAUAAAAAAAAUUUCUUUACUCCAGGCUAUGACGACAAUUAUGGGUUUUUUUUUACUUUUCCCGAUUCACAGUUUAAGUGCUGGUGCUUUAGUUUAUGUAAAAUUAAGAGAGUAAAGAAAACAAGGAAAACUUUUUUUUCAGAAAUCACCUGUGCGACGGCACUGCGGUCAUGAUAGUUCGCCAUUACAUUCAGAUCCGUGAAGUGAACAGAACAGAAACAUGUUUCGUUAAAUGAGAUUCUGUGGGCCUAUCAUGUCCCACAAAGGAAACUGCACUCAAGAAACAAGUUUGAUUUGUUAAAGUUUCUAUUCAUCACUAGGUAUUGCUAAUGAAUAAUUGAAAAACGACUUUUAGUUAGCAGGGCGCCAGGGCUUUGUAGAAAAUUUAGAUUUUAUUGUGUCAUGAAACUAUGUUAACGAUAUAUUCAUCUGAUAUUCAUAUACAACUGAAUCUAUAGAUCACAAUAUGGCGAGCAGUUCAUACAGAUAAUUUUAUAAUGUCUAUAUUUUAAGUGAGAUUAAUAUAUCCCGUAAGGUUGACCAUAGCCGUAAGGCGUUUGGAGAUAGUCCCUUUUCGAGUCGCUUCCAUGUUGGUAGUUGUUCAAGAUCCUGCUGUAGUCGUAAUGUCCCUGAAUAUUUCCAAUUAAAAUUGUAAAAAAUAAUUGCAACCAUAGAUAUUUCUCUCAGUAAACAUUUACCGCGUGUCCCUCAUAAUUGCCAAAGACAUAUUUAUCAUAGCCGGAACCAUAAUGAGGAGGUUGAUAAUCGACAAAUCCAUAACCUAAUAAAUCACGGAAAAAAUUUGAUAUUGAAAUUCGAUUAAUCAUACAUGCCAAUAACACUAUCAGUCACCUCCGUAGUCAGCCCCAUAACCGUACACUGAUGGCCGAGCACUUAUCAUCACUGCCAUAACUCCGAUAAGUAGAAAAAAAACUACCUGUAAUUAAAAAAAAUUAAUAAAU